UACGUAGGGUGCAAGCGUUGUCCGGAAUUAUUGGGCGUAAAGAGCUUGUAGGCGGUUUGUCGCGUCUGCUGUGAAAUUUCGGGGCUCAACCCCGAACUUGCAGUGGGUACGGGCAGACUAGAGUGUGGUAGGGGAGACUGGAAUUCCUGGUGUAGCGGUGAAAUGCGCAGAUAUCAGGAGGAACACCGAUGGCGAAGGCAGGUCUCUGGGCCGACACUGACGCUGAGGCGCGAAAGCCAGGGGAGCGAACGGG
rnacentral:rRNA from 1 species